rnacentral:rRNA from 1 species
GAGGAACGCUGGCGGCGUGCUUAACACAUGCAAGUCGAACGAAGCACUUUAAUUGAUUUCUUCGGAAUGAAGUUUUUGUGACUGAGUGGCGGACGGGUAAGUAACGCGUGGGUAACCUGCCUCAUACAGGGGGAUAACAGUUGGAAACGACUGCUAAUACCGCAUAAGCGCACAGGAUUGCAUGAUCCAGUGUGAAAAACUCCGGUGGUAUGAGAUGGACCCGCGUCUGAUUAGCCAGUUGGCGGGGUAACGGCCCACCAAAGCGACGAUCAGUAGCCGACCUGAGAGGGUGACCGGCCACAUUGGGACUGAGACACGGCCCAAACUCCUACGGGAGGCAGCAGUGGGGAAUAUUGCACAAUGGGGGAAACCCUGAUGCAGCGACGCCGCGUGAGCGAAGAAGUAUUUCGGUAUGUAAAGCUCUAUCAGCAGGGAAGAAGAAUGACGGUACCUGACUAAGAAGCACCGGCUAAAUACGUGCCAGCAGCCGCGGUAAUACGUAUGGUGCAAGCGUUAUCCGGAUUUACUGGGUGUAAAGGGAGCGCAGGCGGUACGGCAAGUCUGAUGUGAAAUCCCGGGGCUCAACCCCGGUACUGCAUUGGAAACUGUCGGACUAGAGUGUCGGAGGGGUAAGUGGAAUUCCUAGUGUAGCGGUGAAAUGCGUAGAUAUUAGGAGGAACACCAGUGGCGAAGGCGGCUUACUGGACGAUUACUGACGCUGAGGCUCGAAAGCGUGGGGAGCAAACAGGAUUAGAUACCCUGGUAGUCCACGCCGUAAACG